UGCCCUGUGUUAGAGCUGCCCACCCGGAGUGAGAGGUUUACUGCUCCCCUUACUUUCCAUUUGGGGAUCUUAAGACAUGGAGUUCAGUAGGGAGACUCGGAGAAGAAGCUGGUACAAUUCAAAAGCAAGUGAACUAUUUCUCAAUAAGACUUGGAAUUCCAACUUCUGGUUAAUUGUAAAUAUGAUUUGGAGGAAGAAGUAGCACAUCAGGGAGCUAAG
rnacentral:lncRNA from 1 species